CAAUCUUCCUUUAUGUUAUAUGUGGGACACUGCCACAGCGUGGCUUGAAGAGCGGUGUACAGGUUUGAAGCAAUUUGAUUACGAUGUGCAGAGGGAAAGCCUGCACCUUAUCAGAGAAACCUGCUAAGAGGCUGUGCAUGAUGUAGUCCACUUGUGACGCAGUGAAGGCCACAGCGGUCAUACAGAAGCAUGAUGGGAAGUGCUGCCAGCAACGAGCUGGCGUGAAGAUAAAGAGAAGGAAGACAGAAGAAGGAAAACGGAGAAUUAUUUUUCCCCUCCAAAACAUAGAAAAGAUUGAUACUGUGGUUCUCCAUUGUAUCAGAAGUGCAAACAUGAGAAAACAGUCAUAAAUCAGAGUGGAUUUUUAUUUUACAUAGAGAAUAACUUUUUAAUAAGACAAUUGUCCAUUUUGUUGAGAUGUUCAGAUUUAUCAUCAUGCCGGUUUGCUCGAAGCGGGGAGAAAGUCUUGGGACGAGAACAGGAGUGGGGGAUACAAUUUACAACUUAUCAAUCUAUCAGUAGAGAUUCCGUUAUUUGAUCUCUUCCCCCAAAAUACUAGAUAAGGAAGUCACCGAAUUUCACACAAUCUAAUAAGUGGGAGAGCUGAGAUUCACACUCCAGCCCUCUGACGUCCCAGUUUUUCACUUUGUC
rnacentral:lncRNA from 1 species